GAAUUUUGCGCAAUGGGCGAAAGCCUGACGCAGCAAUGCCGCGUGAGUGAUGAAGGCCUUCGGGUCGUAAAGCUCUGUCAGAGGGGAAGAACCUCCUGUCGGUUAAUACCCGGCAGGCUUGACGGUACCCUCAAAGGAAGCACCGGCUAACUCCGUGCCAGCAGCCGCGGUAAUACGGAGGGUGCAAGCGUUGUUCGGAAUUAUUGGGCGUAAAGCGCGUGCAGGCGGCUCGCUAAGUCUGAUGUGAAAGCCCCGGGCUCAACACGGGAAGUGCAUUGGAAACUGGCGAACUUGAGUACGGGAGAGGGAAGUGGAAUUCCGAGUGUAGGGGUGAAAUCCGUAGAUAUUCGGAGGAACACCAGUGGCGAAGGCGGCUUCCUGGACCGAUACUGACGCUGAGACGCGAAAGCGUGGGGAGCAAACAGG
rnacentral:rRNA from 1 species